rnacentral:tRNA from 1 species
GCCGGUAGCGGUGGCGCAGUGGUAAGCGCUCCGAGGCAACUUCCAAAAAAAUACGUCUGGUCACCUUGCUUUUUGGAGGUGGUGGGUGUUCGAUUCCCAUCGCCGGCA